UACGAAGGGGGCUAGCGUUGUUCGGAAUUACUGGGCGUAAAGGGCGCGUAGGCGGUGUGUCAAGUCAGGCGUGAAAGCCCCGGGCUCAACCUGGGAACCGCGCUUGAGACUGGCACGCUCGAGUUCGGGAGAGGAUGGUGGAAUUCCGCGUGUAGCAGUGAAAUGCGUAGAGAUGCGGAGGAACACCGAUGGCGAAGGCAGCCCCCUGGGCCGACACUGACGCUCAGGCACGAAAGCGUGGG
rnacentral:rRNA from 1 species